rnacentral:lncRNA from 1 species
GGCAUGAGCAUCUUUAUGUCUUUCUGCGAGGCAUCCUUCUCGCUUCUGCCCGAGCAGGAGGGUGGCUCUUUGGAAGGGUGCUGAAGGCUCUCGGUUCGCUCGUUUCGGCUCUUUUCCCCUCAAAAAGAAAGCGGGUCAAGGGGGGAAAAGCGACUUCCCCGUCAGGGUGCGGAGCGCGGCCGCGCUCGUCCCCGCGGGUCCCCAGGUACUGGCGUUGGGAGCGAGCGCUGCCUUCUCUGAAAAGUUAGGGGACUUUAUUCCAGCCCGACUGCGAUCCUAGAAUAACCGGAGCCGCUCGCCGGGAGGAACGUGAUCGGCUUUUCCCAGGGGAUGGCAUGCUGCCUCAACCCUGUACUUUGGUCAAGGGUAGAACCAAUAGCGAGCUGUGGGAUUUUGGGUAAUAAGUGUGGGAAUCUGCAAGAGGAGUAGGUCUAAGAGUGAUUUGUUUUCUUUCUGCUCAUGAAUAAUGGCCUAGAGCUUUUUUUUUUUUUUUUUUUUUUUUUUAAAAAAAAAUUUGUAGGCGUUCAACAUCGCAGUCAUCAUCAUCAACAACAGCAAUACAGUAGGGAUGUCCAGGAGAAUGGUGUCUGAUGAGAACUGUUUUCUCUGAGAGGCUGGUAUCACAUGCUGGCACAGCCUUCCCCUUGCUGAUGACCGGGUUCCUGUUUGAUCCUGUUUACAAGCUUUCGAAGAUUGAAAAGAACCCCAACUCCUCUGCAUUGGAGGAGACACCCAAAGCAAGAGAAGAGACUUGGCAGAGGUCUGUGGACACGAUUUUCUGGACCUAAGAGAAUAUUCAAGCUCUCAGACGCUGGCUGUUCCCAAGGGAAAGGCUUGGGAACCUUUCUCACUCAAGGAUUAUUUGUAUAAAUAAGGAAUUACUUUCCCAAAACAAGGCACAGAUAUUCUGUGCGUGUUUUUCUCUCUUAUCUCACCAAUGGGAUGAGAGGGGUGUUGUUCCUUUUACCAAUCAGGGUGACCUGGUCGGAGAAGCAUAUAAGGGUUGAGAAAACCCCAAAAUAAAGGCUUUUUUUGGCCUCA